rnacentral:rRNA from 1 species
UACGUAGGGGGCUAGCGUUGUCCGGAUUUAUUGGGCGUAAAGAGCGUGUAGGCGGCCAGGUAGGUCUGGUGUGAAAACUCGAGGCUUAACCUCGAGAUGUCAUCGGAAACCAUCUGGCUAGAGUCCGGAAGAGGAGAGUGGAAUUCCAGGUGUAGCGGUGAAAUGCGUAGAUAUCUGGAGGAACACCGGUGGCGAAGGCGGCAUCCUGGACCAACACUGACGCUGAGGAGCGAAAGCCAGGGGAGCAAACGGG